rnacentral:rRNA from 1 species
AACGGGGAUGCCAUUUUUGAGGCGGUUAGUUCUUUAAACGCCAAGAUGCCGGCAUCUUAGUGGCGGACGGGUGAGUAACGCGUGGGUAACCUGCCUUAUACAGGGGCUUAAAAAUUAGAAAUAGGUGCUAAUACCGCAUAAGCGCACGGGGCUGCAUGGCCCAGUGUGAAAAACUCCGGUGGUAUAAGAUGGACCCGCGUCUGAUUAGCUUGUUGGCGGGGUAACGGCCCACCAAGGCGACGGUCAGUAGCCGGCCUGAGAGGGUGGACGGCCACAUUGGGACUGAGACACGGCCCAAACUCCUACGGGAGGCAGCAGUGGGGAAUAUUGGAUUUUGGGGGGAACCCUGAUCCAGCGACGCCGCGUGAGUGAAGAAGUAUUUCGGUAUUUUUUUUUUCCCCCCCCCCGGAAGAAAGAAAUGACGGUACCUGAAAAAGAAGCCCCGGCUAACUACGUGCCAGCAGCCGCGGUAAUACGUAGGGGGCAAGCGUUAUCCGGAUUUACUGGGUGUAAAGGGAGCGUAGACGGUUAUGCAAGUCUGGAGUGAAAGGCGGGGGCCCAACCCCCGGACUGCUUUGGAAACUGUGUAACUGGAGUGCAGGAGAGGUAAGUGGAAUUCCUAGUGUAGCGGUGAAAUGCGUAGAUAUUAUGAAAAACACCAGUGGCGAAGGCGGCUUACUGGACUGUAACUGACGUUGGGGCUCGAA